AAUACGGGGCGCCGUUCGAUAUGUGCCGCCGUUACAUGCGGCGUUUUUAAGUUACCCUCUGGACCUUUAUUUGAAAGAAAACACCUGAUUUCAAAUAGGCCUCGUGGCUGAGGACUUCCGUUAACCUCUAGGGCCGUGAACCGUUACAAGACCGCGCGAAGAAGAUCCGGCUUUUAUAAGGAGUUGCACAAAGAAGGAGGCUACCUGGACUUGGGCAGUGCUGAAAUCAAUAAAUUGAAGAAUUUUCAUCUCGGAAUUGGAUCCAAUAGAGAUAGUCCUCAACGUACAACAGUUUGUUUAGUGACUGUUCUAAGUUCUGUUAGGAAUAAAUUUUUAGAAUAAAAAUAAAGUUAAAUGA